rfam:Corchorus olitorius cultivar O-4 contig11107, whole genome shotgun sequence.
ACCUACUUAACUCUGCGGUUAGAGUCUCGCUUUCAUACGGCGAGAGGAAUUGGUUCAAAUCCAAUAGUAGGAA